AGGGUUGUAGCUCAAUGGAAGAGCAUCUGCUUUGCAUCCAGACAGUUCCAGGUUCAAUCUCCUGGCAACUCCA